rnacentral:rRNA from 1 species
AUGGGAGGUAAAUUUCUUCUAAAGCUAAAUAUUGGCGAGAGACCGAUAGCGCACAAGUAGAGUGAUCGAAAGAUGAAAAGCACUUUGGAAAGAGAGUUAAAAAGCACGUGAAAUUGUUGAAAGGGAAGCGCUUGCAAUCAGACUUGUUUAAACUGUUCGGCCGGUCUUCUGACCGGUUUACUCAGUUUGGACAGGCCAGCAUCAGUUUCGGCGGCCGGAUAAAGGCUCUGGGAAUGUGGCCUUCACUUCGGUGAAGGUGUUAUAGCCCAGGGUGUAAUACGGCCAGCCGGGACUGAGGUCCGCGCUUCGGCUAGGAUGCUGGCGUAAUGGUUGUAAGCGACCC